GACGAACGCUGGCGGCGUGCCUAAUACAUGCAAGUUGAGCGCUGAAGGUUGGUACUUGUACCAACUGGAUGAGCAGCGAACGGGUGAGUAACGCGUGGGGAAUCUGCCUUUGAGCGGGGGACAACAUUUGGAAACGAAUGCUAAUACCGCAUAAAAACUUUAAACACAAGUUUUAAGUUUGAAAGAUGCAAUUGCAUCACUCAAAGAUGAUCCCGCGUUGUAUUAGCUAGUUGGUGAGGUAAAGGCUCACCAAGGCGAUGAUACAUAGCCGACCUGAGAAGGUGAUCGGCCACCUUUGGACUGUGACACGGCCCAAACUCCCACGGGAGGCAGCAGUAGGGAAUCUUCGGCAAUGGACGAAAGUCUGACCGAGCAACGCCGCGUGAGUGAAGAAGGUUUUCGGAUCGUAAAACUCUGUUUGUAGGGAAGAACGGUGGUGAGAGUGGAAAGCUCAUCAAGUGACGGUAACUACCCAGAAAGGGACGGCUAACUACGUG
rnacentral:rRNA from 1 species